GAUGAACGCUGGCGGCGUGCCUAAUACAUGCAAGUCGAGCGAAUGGAUUAAGAGCUUGCUCUUAUGAAGUUAGCGGCGGACGGGUGAGUAACACGUGGGUAACCUGCACAUAAGACUGGGAUAACUCCGGGAAACCGGGGCUAAUACCGGAUAACAUUUUGAACCGCAUGGUUCGAAAUUGAAAGGCGGCUUCGGCUGUCACUUAUGGAUGGACCCGCGUCGCAUUAGCUAGUUGGUGAGGUAACGGCUCACCAAGGCAACGAUGCGUAGCCGACCUGAGAGGGUGAUCGGCCACACUGGAACUGGAACACGGCCCAGAUUCCUACGGGAGGCAGCAGUAGGGAAUCUUCCGCAAUGGACGAAAGUCUGACGGAGCAACGCCGCGUGAGUGAUGACGGCUUUCGGGUCGUAAAACUCUGUUUGUAGGGAAGAACAAGUGCUAGUUGAAUAAGCUGGCACCUUGACGGUACCUAACCAGAAAGCCACGGCUAACUACGUGCCAGCAGCCGCCGUAA
rnacentral:rRNA from 1 species